CCCUAGAAAAAAUUGUAUUUAGCUGUUAAUGGUACAUGAUAAUUAUGUCAUGGUUUACAACACUCGUUUUUAGAUAAGACCAUGACAUAACUACCAGGUAGUGUACCGUGAACAGCUGAGUACAAUUUUUUUUCACGAAGUUCACUAUCUGUCAACUCGUUUGGUUAUGUGUGUGUAAUACUGUUAAAAACCAUAACACACAAAAACAACAAAAAAUUGAUCGAACAUACUCAAAAUCAGAAUUGCACUUAUCACUGAUUUUGACAGAUAGUGCACUCAAUAUUUUGUUGUUGGACAACUGCCACUUCCUGUAUGAUCUGUCCUUAGCAAAAAGUGCUGGUAAAAAGGUACUUGUGGUAGUGUUUUACGGCUUCUACAACUGCCAACAACUUUCUUCUCGUUAUGCAGUAAUUCCUUUCAGGCUUAGUUGUAGUAUCGGAGGACCUUUUCUUGACCGUUGACUUGCUGCGACAAGAUACCUCCGAUAUCAUAUGCACUAGCGUCCGUAUCCAAAACAAAUUUCUCGCCAGGAAUGAUUCCUCUUGGGUCUGGCUUCACUGAAACUUCUGGCCUUUCUGUGUCAAUUUGUGUAGAUUGGCUGCUGUGCUGGCGAAAUUUGAAACGAAUCGUCUGUAAUAAGUACAGAGACCAAGAAAGCUCCGUAGUUCGUGUAAGAUACGAGCAAUUUCUUAGAGUCCGGACUUUGUGUUCAUCCGGUGAUAUACCCAUCGCCGUGACAUGAUGUCCCAGAUAUUUCACGUCUCGCUGGAAAAAGUUGCGCUUUUUCGCAUUAAGUCUCAGGCCGGCGGUUGAUAGUUGUUGGGGAACAUCCUUCAAGUUCUUAAGAUGGUCGUCAAAGGUUUUUCUCAUGACUAUGAUAUCGUCUAGGUAUAUCAAGCACGACUUCCAUUGAAGCCCCUUCAAUACACGCUCCAUAAGACUUCCAAAGGUGGCCGGGGUGUUGCAGAGUCUGAAUGGCAUAACGUUGAAUUGCUAGGGUCCGUCAUUAACGCCAAAUGCAGUUUUCUCUUUGACUUUUUCUGCGAUCUCUACCUGACAGUAACCACUUUGCAAAUCAAGUGUGGAGAACCAUUUUGUCCCGGCUAGGGUGUCCAGUGUGUCAUCAAUUCUUGGGUGUGGAUAUCUGUCCUUUUUGGUGACAUCGUUAAGCUUUCUAUAAUUAACACAGAAUCGAGUGCUUCUGUCUGUAUUUUAGCCAGCACCACUGGGGAGCACCAUGGACUUGAUGAUGGUUCUAUGACACCACUUUUCUCCAUAUCACUUACAGGUUCUGACUUCGUCCCUCUUUGCCAAGGAAACACUCCUUGUGGCCUGUUUUAUCGGACUUGCUUCUGUGGUAUAUAUUUCAUAUUUUACUGCCGAUGUUCUUCCUUGGUUUUCAUUCGUAAAGGCAAAAGUGGAUACAUGUUUAUAAAGCAAUUGCUUAGCCUAAUUCUUCUCAGAAGGAGAAAGACUGCUUGUCCAGCCCUUGAUGUAUUCCUCUAAAUGCUUUUUUUCCUUAAACGAUGAAUUUGGUGAGCUGCUUUUUAAAUUUACUAUUGCCCAACAUCGCAGAAUUCGUAAAUUUUCUUAUGAUUGGUUGCCAAGUUUAGGACUCGUUCUAGGAUUAGUCCCUCAUCGUUGGUCGUUACCAGGGCACAUGCUAUUAGGACGUUGUUGUUUUUUAUUUCUGCUAGUCCAACCACCCACAAAUUACCGGCUUCACAUUUUCCAUUCAUUGGCACACAUAUUAUUGUUUCGGCAUUUGGAGGUAUUAUCUCUGGAUGGUUUGUAGUUAGACGCCUUAUAUGGGUAUUCUCGUCAUAACCCAAAUUCAACGGUAAUUCGAUGUUUGCAGGUCAUCACACGAUGUUUCAUAAACAGGUUAAGAUCAUAAAAUCGGCACCAAAAUCUACAAUAUCGGCCACUAUAAACUCAUAGGAUAUACAGGUGAUUGUUGCGGGCUCCUCUGUGGCCGUACGCAACCUGACUCCAUUUACGGGGAUAUCCUUCCUUUUACUAAAUCUGCCCUAUUGAGAGAUUUUGAUGAUCCCGUAUCCAAUGCCAAUCUAGUGAAUCUGGGGUUUUGCAAUUAAUCUCGUCGUGUCUUGUGCAAGCGAGAAUGGCACAGUUUCUGCGAACGUAGACUUUUGCGACGCAUACGUUGCACAUUUAAUUUCAGGGUCCCGGAUAUCGUUCACAAAAGUCUCUAUCUUCAUUCGGUCCAUCAAUGGAUGGCUUUCUCUUGGGUAUGUGAAUAACACUAGUUGCUUUACCUCUGUUGCGAAAUCCUGUAGCGUCUCGUUUGAUUUCUGAACUCGUCCUCUCAAAUCCAUCCUCUUUAUGUCUUGCUUAUCUUCUCCCCCGUACUUACGUUGAAGUGCAGCUGUAAUUUCGCUAUUGUUUUUUCUAGAGGGAGUGGGAAUACUUUGUAUUACCUCGUAAGUACUUCCCUUUAACGCCAGCAGGAGCUCAAUUGCCUUGUCGUUGUCAUUCCAUGAAUUUCGGGAGGCGAGAGUCUCGAACUGGAACUUGAAUUCAUCAAAUGUUGUAGUUCUAUCAAACGCUGGAGUUUUGAUUUUAGUGGCACUGUCGAUAACGCGCAAUGGACCAUCUUUGAUUUCCAGUUCCGAAAUUUUCUUCUCGAUGUACAAAAGUUUCUCGUCAUGAGUAUAACUAAUCUUAUCCAGAUCCUUUAUUUGGCCUUCUACGUUUGCCACUCGUUUAUCCAUAAAUUUAGAUAUUUUCUGGAGUUCCUCGUUCAGAAUUGUGGAGUUUUCUGAGAAUUUUGCAUCCAAUUUUUCAGCCAGAAUUCUGGAAGUGUCUUCCAUUAUUUUUCUGGAAUUCUUCCAUCAUUUUACUUAUGUCGGCUAGCAUUACUGCGAAACUCACAUCUCCUGCAGUAACUUUCGAAACUUCCUCGUCGCUGGCAUCACCCCUUAUCGAAUCGAUCACCCUUACUGUCGAACUCAAUUAUUUAAUUUUACGGCGCUCAAUAACCGCUUUUGUAGUUCCGCCUUGUUGUCGGUAGUUGCUAGCUCCAUUUUACAAAGCUCUUUCUUCGAGUCGUCCACGCGUAGAUUAGCGAAUUUCAUUGAAUACGUUUAUUUCGUAAUUUCACUUCUGACACUAGUUGUUACGUUUUUAGUAUAGGCGUUUUACUUCCAAUAAAAACACAGUUCUUUUACAAUUACUUUACUCAACAAUGAUUUAUUGAUCUGCUUAUUUGCUUUACAACUCACUAACUGCUGUUUGCUGAUACGUUUACAAUACGCGCUUUUAGGUAAGACUGACACGUGUUGCGUUGUGCCACUGCCUAUAUACUUCUUGCUGGCCACAUCGAUGUGUCGAGAAUACCCAAUUUGGUAACUUCGCGAUAAUUCCUCCAUUGGUUAUUGCUUAGCUGACCAUCGUUGACAAACACGCAUACAUAGCGCGAUGUUCGACAGGUUAACACAUACUCUUACAGCUAUUGAACAAGCGUGGAGUUAAACAAAACAGAAACAAUUAUGCGUUAAAAAAUUAAUGAAUGAAUGUUUUUAUUGAGACUUCUUCUUACUUUGUCAAAAUACAUUAGCGAUGCAUAUCGAAUGGUUAACAUAAUGGUAAACAAAAAAAAAAAUAAAUUUACGUCUUGUUCUAACCUUUUUUGUCAAUGAAUAUAAGCUAUUUGCUAUAUGAGAUUGAUAAUGUAUUAGAAACACGAGAUACAAGGCUUUCUCUCGGCGUUUACGGUUGUAUACAGAGCAAUUUGUCUGUUAAAAAAUAAAUAAACAAUAAACUACCAAACACUUAAAAAUAGAUAAUAAAACGAACUGCUAACAGUAACGGUGAUGUAGUAAACAUGAAAACGUAAUUAUAAGAUCAUUGAAUGAAUGUAAAAAGCACAUUUGUAUCUCAGAGAAUUUCAUGUACAUAAGUUUCUAUACAAAGCUAACCUCUGUGUGAUCCAGGACAGGCUUUAAGAUAGAACUGAGGCAUAUUGUUGUGGUCUGAGUCGGGGUUAAAAGGUUCGUGGAUAAUAGAAACAGGUGACAUAUAAGCCGAAUCAGUUCAGCGUUUGUUUUUCUCCAAAUUAUACAUGUCGCAUAAUAGAAGUUUUCAUGACCUUGGGUAAGAAGGAGUAGAGUCGCAAAGUCAUGUGACAUCAACGGCAUGGUCGAGAAGCCAUUGUUUAAGUAUUUCACCAUUUGAAUUUUCCGAUAAAUCUCCCCAGGAAGGGCUUUUGGCAUUUAAAUCUCCGCCAAUAAUAAAACCAUCAAAACCGCUAAUUAAGUCCAAUAGCUUAUUUAAACUAAGAUUUUUUCCUGGUACCAUUAGAUACAAAACAAGAAUUGAACCCCAAAUCGGUUAACACAAUUCUAUUAUAGCUUGUAUUGUUUUUAAGUAUAAUCGCUACGCCAAGGGGGGAGCCAUCGUAUAUAAAGUUGUAAUCAGAGAAUUCCUGUACCUGCUCAAAUGGCAUUCUUGGAUUAAGCCAAUAUCAAUCUUGUUGUUCACUAGUGUGUUGCAAAGGUCAACUUGUUUGCUUCGGUUCACAAGAGACCUCACAUUGAAUGUUAAACAAUUUAAAUGUUUAUGGAUCAUUUGACUUAACCUUUUUAAGCAGACAUAAAAAUUCGGCUUUUGCUUCGGCCUUUGGCAUUUUUUGAUAUUCCAUAAGAAAUAUAUUUAUCUCCUCUUCUAUAGAGAGCUCCUCAGGCUCUGAGAAAAACUUGACAAGUUUUAAGAAUUGUUCAAUUAUUGAUGACUUAUUUUGUUAAUUAUUCGGAUAAAAAAAGUUGGCAUAAGAUUUCACAGGGGUAAUAGCAGGCAGGUUAAUUGCAAUUGGCGCAAAAGGGAUCAGAUGGUCGUUCUCCACACGAGGACAUUCCCCAGGACUAUGCUGCCUGCGCAUUUCACGCAAUUGUAUGCCGAGUUACAAUUGCGUGAAAUGUGACCCCAUCUUUAGCAACGGUGGCAUUGAAUUUCGCCUUCUCUUUUUGGUGUUUCCCAAGUGACGAUUUGAUUGAGUAUACCGCGAAUAUGAGUAACAUCGCCCAAUUUCAUUCCGGGAAGUAAAUAAACUAGAAACAGGCCAGUUUCUAUAUUCUUCUUGAUCGAUCCGGGAGUUUUAAACUUUGUUGCAGUUGCAACGGUGUCUGGGACCAGAUUUUCCAGUUCCUCCUUAAUUUGUUCGAGCUCGGAAUUUGAAUGAAGUCGUAAUAUGACUGCCUCUUGUCUUAUUUCUUUUGGAGUGAAGGGAUGUGACAGUAUAUUCUUGGUUCGAAGUAAAGCCAUCAUUGUUGCAUGAGUUUGAAUAUCAGCAAAGAAAAGCGUGCUUAUGUUAUUAACCUUAAAAGACGAGUCAGGAAUUUUUGAACGCAAGUCAUUUUUAAUGUUCACGUUGUACAAGAUCUUAUGUUUGGCACGGAGUUUUUGCCUGCAUCUUGAACACUUGCCGUUUGGUUUGUGCUUACUUGGGGUGUAUUCGACAUUGGUGUGGUGCUAACGUGAGGACGUCGAGUGGGAAUAUCUUAACCGACAGUAAAAUUGCCAUAAGG
rnacentral:sRNA from 1 species